rnacentral:rRNA from 1 species
CACCUCCUUAGAGUUUGGAUCCUGGCUCAGGACGAACGCUGGCGGCGUGCUUAACACAUGCAAGUCGAACGAUGAAGCCCUUCGGGGUGGAUUAGUGGCGAACGGGUGAGUAACACGUGGGCAAUCUGCCCUUCACUCUGGGACAAGCCCUGGAAACGGGGUCUAAUACCGGAUAACACUCUGUCCCGCAUGGGACGGGGUUAAAAGCUCCGGCGGUGAAGGAUGAGCCCGCGGCCUAUCAGCUUGUUGGUGGGGUGAUGGCCUACCAAGGCGACGACGGGUAGCCGGCCUGAGAGGGCGACCGGCCACACUGGGACUGAGACACGGCCCAGACUCCUACGGGAGGCAGCAGUGGGGAAUAUUGCACAAUGGGCGAAAGCCUGAUGCAGCGACGCCGCGUGAGGGAUGACGGCCUUCGGGUUGUAAACCUCUUCAGCAGGAAGAAGCAAA